rnacentral:tRNA from 1 species
GCAGCGGUAACCAAGCCAGGUCAAAGGUGAAGGACUCAAGAUCCUUUCCCGUAGGGGUUCGCUGGUUCAAAUCCGGCCCGCUGCACCA